rnacentral:rRNA from 1 species
AAUUUUGGACUAUGGGGGAAACCCUGAUCCAGCCAUCCCGCGUGUAUGAUGAAGGCCAUCGGAUAGUAAAGAAAUGUUGGCAGAGAAGAAAUGGUACGUCUCAAUACGAGGUACUGCCGAUGGUAUCUGAAGAAUAAGCACUGGCUACCUACGUGCCAGCAGCCGCGGUAAUACGUAGGGUGCAAGCGUUAAUCGGAAUUACUGGGCGUAAAGCGUGUGUAGGCGGUUCGGAAAGAAAGAUGUGAAAUCCCAGGGCUCAACCUUGGAACUGCAUUUUUAACUGCCGAGCUAGAGUAUGUCAGAGGGGGGUAGAAUUCCACGUGUAGCAGUGAAAUGCGUAGAUAUGUGGAGGAAUACCGAUGGCGAAGGCAGCCCCCUGGAUAAUACUGACGCUCAGACACGAAAGCGUGGGGAGCAAAC